ACCAGCAGGCUGGAUGCAGGGCUGGUAGGUGAGGCCCUGUGCUGGCAUUGGGGUGGAUAGGUGAAUCCACCAUCACAUCCCUUCUUAGGAGCUACAGAAAGCAAAAAGAAAAAAAGCGGCCCGUAGAGCCGCUCCAAGCUUUUCUUAGGAAGUAAUGGGGUUGUUCAGAGCCUGGCAAUGGAAAUUGAAAAGGACCACAGUCGGUAAAGAUGCUGAUGGGACUGGGCUGCUGUUUUGGUCUGAGUAGCUCUGCAAAAGCUGGCACAUGCUGCAGGAAAUCACUGGUGCAUCUGCCCAGGAAACAUCAAGCUGACUUAAAUAUUCUCCUGCUUUAAGCUGCUUAUCUUCAAAAUCUACUUCUGGAACAGGGCUUUGUCACCAGAUGACUUAAGCACAAAACACCACAUGUAUUAUGCUGUCAUCAGAGCCAUCCUCGGUGAUAAUUGCAACAUGCCAGCAAUAAAAACGCCCAGCCCUAGCUCCCAUGGCCUACUUCUGAAAGGAACUGCAUGGCUUUACAAUUAUCACUCAGACUGGCAGGGAGAAGGGGAGGGUGGGAGAGCAGCAGGGGAAGAAAUCUUUUCAAUCUGGAUGAACAGAUCAGCUGCCUUGGACACCAUGCUGUUCUGACCAAGCCAGGGUUCCUGUGACAUCAUGCCCCACUCUCAUACUGUCAGCAAAAUUCCCUGAGGACCACAGCUGCCACUGCCUACAAAUGAGUGUUUCUGCUCACUCCAUUCAAGAAUGCAUGCCAAUUCCUCCUUUCUGCGAGGCUGCUCAUCUCCUUUCUAUCCUCUAGAGAUGCUGAGUUCAGUGAGUAUAGGGAUGCUGGAAGAACAUGUUUUCAUGAUAGAGGACCACAGGAGAGGUUAACAAAACCCAACCAUCUCUAGAGCUUCGCUAUUAGAGAGCCACAGAUAGGUUCUAGGUGAGCAGAGAUGUAGGUCUCUUACCUUUGAGUCAGCAGGAAGAGGCACUGAUAGGUCAGAGCACAGCAGCUUCCUCCAUUUUUCCAGGGUGCUAUUCGAAGAUUAUUACUUAUCAUUUGUACCAGAAGGUGAUAGAGUUUGGGGAGUACUCAUAAAAUAAUGAGGGAAAGACUCAACCUUUAUCUGUCCACCUAUCUAUCUAUCUAUCCAACAAUGUAAAAUUACAAAGAAUCUUAUUUCCUGGAAAAUAGAGGAAGCAUGUCAGGUAUCUAAUUUCUGCCUCAAUAAUUUACUUUAUGAUCUAUGUUAAGACUGUAACUGUCCAAAUAACCAG